AGCAACAGAGACCCCCAUCUUCUCAACGCACUGCAGUCAACUGCAGUCAACUGUUGAAUUCAGUUGACAAGAAUCGGAAUAUGCAAAUUCUGUAUAAGUAUAAACAGGAUUAUCCUGCCUUCCAGCAUUGUGGGCGAGUCACCUCCUCAAAACUUCCUUGCACAAUCUUCAGCUGGUCUCACCUAUCCCCUGCCAGCUUGUACUCCUUCCCUUCCUCUACCUUCUUAUUCAGAUUUCUGCCCCCUUCCUUUCCAGUCUGAAUAAGGGUCAUGGCCAGAAAUGUUGACUAUUUAUUCAUCGCCGUAGAUGCCAUCAGACCUGCCGAGUUCCUCCAGCACAGUGGGACAGUUCCACUCUUUCGACUUUGGAAGUUCGGGUCCAGCAGUAUGAGUCUUCCUUGGCUGCAGUGUAGGAUGAUGACUUUUUCUGUGCCACGCCAUGCCCUUGACUCUCCGGUCUGCCUUCCUGGCUUUUGUAUUUCACUGCUGAGCUCAUUCGCACCGUUCAGUGGGCCUGAACUCGUACCCUAGUACAGAUACACAGUGGAGAGGAUCCUGAUUAGUUGCAUCAUGGCCUGAUAUGGGAACACCAAUGCCAAAAAAUUAAAAAGGGCGACAAAAAGUGGUGAAUACAGUCCAGUCCAUCACAGGAAAAGACCUCCCCACCAUGGAGCACAUCUAUAAAGAGCCCUGCCACAAGAAGGCAGCAUCCAUCAUCAAGGACCCCACCAUCCAGGCCAUGCACUCAUUUCUCUGCUGCCAUCAGUAAGGAGAUACAGGAGCCUUAGAUCUCACAACUCCAGAUUCAGGAACCAUUACAACCUUCCAACCAUCAGGCUCAUGAACCAGAGUGAACCACUUUACUCACCUCAUCACUGAAUUCAUUCGCAAACUAUGGCGACACUUUGAAGGACUCUAGAACUCAAGUUCUCUGUAUUACUUAUUUAAGUAUUUAUGUAUAAUUGCAUGUAUUUAUUUGUUUGCUUAUUUGCUUAUUUAUUUGUAUAUUAUUUGUUUUUAUAUUUGAA